UUCUAUGUCCUCUGAUAGAAAAGCGUAGACGUACACGCGGAUAGCUAAAAUUGCAUACAGAUAACACGCCACUUGGCUUACGAAAGUAGUGUGUAUGUCAUAAUGUCA